rnacentral:ncRNA from 2 species
AUGCAUGUUGCAGGAGAGCGCGCGUGGCCUGCUUGGCCGCUCGCCGCCGAAGGCGCAAUUCGCCCGGAAUCGCUCAGGCCCAGUAGGGCAACAUGCCU